GAUGAACGCUAGCUACAGGCUUAACACAUGCAAGUCGAGGGGUAACAAGAGAAAAGCUUGCUUUUCUUGUUGACGACCGGCGCACGGGUGAGUAACGCGUAUCCAACCUGCCUAUAACUAGGGAAUAACCUUGCGAAAGUAAGACUAAUACCCUAUGAUUUCCUUUGAUGGCAUCAGAUUAGGAAUAAAGAUUUAUCGGUUAUAGAUGGGGAUGCGUCUGAUUAGCUUGUUGGCGGGGUAACGGCCCACCAAGGAAACGAUCAGUAGGGGUUCUGAGAGGAAGGUCCCCCACAUUGGAACUGAGACACGGUCCAAACUCCUACGGGAGGCAGCAGGGAGGAAUAUUGGUCCAUGGGCGGAAGCCUGAACCAGCCAAGUAGCGUGCAGGAUGACGGCCCUAUGGGUUGUAAACUGCUUUUAUACAGGAAUAAAGUUAGCCACGUGUGGUUAUUUGUAGGUACUGUAUGAAUAAGGACCGGCUAAUUCCGUGCCAGCCGCCGCAGUAA
rnacentral:rRNA from 1 species